rnacentral:pre_miRNA from 1 species
CGCAUAUUACCUCCGUCCAAAAAUACUUUUUUUAAAGAUGAAUGUAUCUAGACUUAUUUUAAUUGUAGAUACAUCCAUUAUAUGUAUUUUUAGGACAAGUAUUUUCAGACGGAGGGAGUAUAAU